UACGUAGGAUGCAAGCGUUGUCCGGAAUUAUUGGGCGUAAAGAGUUCGUAGGCGGUUGCCUAAGUCUGGUGUUAAAUACAGGAGCUCAACUCCUGCAUGGCACUGGAAACUGGGCAGCUAGAGUGUGGUAGAGGUCACGGGAAUUCCAGGUGUAGCGGUGAAAUGCGUAGAUAUCUGGAGGAACACCAGUGGCGAAAGCGCGUGACUGGGCCACAACUGACGCUGAGGAACGAAAGCCAGGGGAGCGAAAGGG
rnacentral:rRNA from 1 species